CAGAUGGCAAACAAUUAAAGAGAGAAUAAGAGGGGAAAGGACCCCCCUGUGGUGUGGCCUCGAUAAGAAACAACAUGGCCUCUUGGGGUCAUGGGCUCGUCUUUCAUUCUGUGACACUUCAUCGGGAGGGCCACCUCUGGCCAACUUGAUGUGAAGAAGCCACCUGCCCGCCUGGCUCCACAGGGAUUCGAAUCCGUUAUUCGGUUUACUUACUGCAUUAUACCUCUCCCUGUCUGCAGUUACAUUCCUCAGUGACUUAUUCGUGCAUGUAACUUUUUGUCGAGGGCUUUUUGUGCACCAGGCACCGGGUUCUGGAGAUACCAUAGGGAACAACACAGACCAAACGCCUGCCUUCAUGGAACUGCCAUUCUCAUGGGAAACGACAGGCAGAUGUCCAUGAUUUGGAAAAAGGCAACGAAGACGAAUGAGGCAACUCCAACAUGGCAAGAUAGCCAGCGGGUGUGAAUGCAGCAGAGCAACGUGAGGCCCCGCCCAGGGCUCUCAUGAAGGUGAAGUUCAAGUUUCUCCAACUGCUAGACAGUAUCCAGGAAGGGAGGACAGCCCAGCUUGGCCAGAGGAGCCAUGACCUUGACACAGAGGCAUCGGUGAGAGGGAAUUAAAUGGCCCCUUCCUUGUG